AUAGCCUUACUUAAUAACAAUUAU
rnacentral:siRNA from 1 species